CCAGGGAGGGACAGAGUCCCUGGCAGAGAAGGAGGGGUGGACCUCACAUCGGUGACUUUCCUGAGCCACCAACAAGGCCCUCACCAGGUGUGUUCCCUGGACUUUGGACUUCCCAGCCUCUGAAACUGACAAGACUUGAUCCACAAAGACAAUGUUAUAAAGGUGUCUCCCUCGAGCCGUCUCUCUCCUCUAGGUUCCUGACACCUCUGUGAUGGCCCAGACAGGUCACAAUGUGUGUUCGCCCCCACAGGUAGCCAUGCACACCAGGAGAUAAGGCUGCUGUAGUCCAUCUCCCCUGUGCCCACAGCCGUAGCAUAAUAAAUGCUCUCUUCUGCUC